rnacentral:rRNA from 1 species
UACGUCGGGUGCGAGCGUUGCCCGGAUUUAUUGGGCGUAAAGGGCGCGUAGGCGGUCACGCACGUCCGUUGUGAAAUCGCUCGGCUCAACUGGGCGGGGUCAGCGGAUACGGCGUGGCUGGAGCAAGCUAGGGGGCAAUGGAAUUCCCGGUGUAGUGGUGGAAUGCGUAGAUAUCGGGAGGAACACCAGUGGCGAAGGCGGUUGCCUGGAGCUUUGCUGACGCUGAUGCGCGAAAGCGUGGGGAGCGAUCCGG